rnacentral:rRNA from 1 species
UNGGGGUACUCGAGUGGCGAACGGGUGAGUAACACGUGGGUGAUCUGCCCUGCACUUUGGGAUAAGCCUGGGAAACUGGGUCUAAUACCGAAUAGGACCACGCGCUUCAUGGUGUGUGGUGGAAAGCUUUUGCGGUGUGGGAUGGGCCCGCGGCCUAUCAGCUUGUUGGUGGGGUAAUGGCCUACCAAGGCGACGACGGGUAGCCGGCCUGAGAGGGUGACCGGCCACACUGGGACUGAGAUACGGCCCAGACUCCUACGGGAGGCAGCAGUGGGGAAUAUUGCACAAUGGGCGCAAGCCUGAUGCAGCGACGCCGCGUGAGGGAUGACGGCCUUUCGGGUUGUAAACCUCUUUCAAUAGGGACGAAGCGCAAGUGACGGUACCUAUAGAAGAAGCACCGGCCAACUACGUGCCAGCAGCCGCGGUAAUACGUAGGGUGCGAGCGUUGUCCGGAAUUACUGGGCGUAAAGAGCUCGUAGGUGGUUUGUCGCGUUGUUCGUGAAAACUCACAGCUUAACUGUGGGCGUGCGGGCGAUACGGGCAGACUAGAGUACUGCAGGGGAGACUGGAAUUCCUGGUGUAGCGGUGGAAUGCGCAGAUAUCAGGAGGAACACCGGUGGCGAAGGCGGGUCUCUGGGCAGUAACUGACGCUGAGGAGCGAAAGCGUGGGGAGCGAACAGGAUUAGAUACCCUGGUAGUCCACGCCGUAAACGGUGGGUACUAGGUGUGGGUUCCUUCCUUGGGAUCCGUGCCGUAGCUAACGCAUUAAGUACCCCGCCUGGGGAGUACGGCCGCAAGGCUAAAACUCAAAGGAAUUGACGGGGGCCCGCACAAGCGGCGGAGCAUGUGGAUUAAUUCGAUGCAACGCGAAGAACCUUACCUGGGUUUGACAUGCACAGGACGCCGGCAGAGAUGUCGGUUCCCUUGUGGCCUGUGUGCAGGUGGUGCAUGGCUGUCGUCAGCUCGUGUCGUGAGAUGUUGGGUUAAGUCCCGCAACGAGCGCAACCCUUGUCCUAUGUUGCCAGCGGGUUAUGCCGGGGACUCGUAGGAGACUGCCGGGGUCAACUCGGAGGAAGGUGGGGAUGACGUCAAGUCAUCAUGCCCCUUAUGUCCAGGGCUUCACACAUGCUACAAUGGCCGGUACAAAGGGCUGCGAUGCCGUGAGGUGGAGCGAAUCCUUUCAAAGCCGGUCUCAGUUCGGAUCGGGGUCUGCAACUCGACCCCGUGAAGUCGGAGUCGCUAAUAAUCGCAGAUCAGCAACGCUGCGGUGAAUACGUUCCCGGGCCUUGUACACACCGCCCGUCACGUCAUGAAAGUCGGUAACACCCGAAGCCGG